GAUGAACGCUGGCGGCGUGCCUAAGACAUGCAAGUCGAGCGAACGGACGAGAAGUUUGUUUCUCUGAUGUUAGCGGCGGACGGGUGAGUAACACGUGGAUAACCUACUUAUAAGACUGGGAGAACUUCGGGAAACCGGAGCUAAUACCGGAUAAUAUUUUGAACCGCAUGGUUCAAAAGUGAAAGACGGUCUUGCUGUCACUUAUAGAUGGAUCCGCGCUGCAUUAGCUAGUGGGUAAGGUAACGGCUUACCAAGGCAACGAUGCAUAGCCGACCUGAGAGGGUGAUCGGCCACACGGGAACUGAGACACGGUCCAGCCUCCUGAGGGAGGCAGCAGUAGGGAAUGUUCCGCAAUGGGCGAAAGCCUGACAGAGCGACGCCGCGUGAGUGAUGAAGGUCUUCGGAUCGUAAAACUCUGUUAUGAGGGAAGAACAUAUGUGUAAGUAACUGUGCACAUCUUGACGGUACCUCAUCAGAAAGCCACGGCUAACUACGUG
rnacentral:rRNA from 1 species